AGUCAGGGAUGUAUGGGUGUGUGUGCAUAGCAAGAUAGAUAGAUCUAUGUAUGACAUACCAAUUAUUUCCUUGGAACUUUAAUUGCACUGUCUGCCAUGUAAUCAUAUUUACAGGCCAUCAACAUUUUCCAAGAUGGUUACUUAAAGUUAGCUUUCUAAUUUUCUGGCAAUGUUGCUAAAUGAAAAAGAUCAGAGCUUUUAAAAUGACCAUUUUAACUGCUGCCUGCUCAGCCUUUCAAGGAAGAAAACAGCUUCUACAAGCAGACAACGAUGAGCAUUAUAUUUAGGAAUACGGAUUUUAAAAUCUGGGCUUUUUCUAUUGUGAAGAAUAAUAUCUGGCUUUUAGAUAGUUGAUCGCAGACGUUCUCAUCUGAUACAACUGUAACCUGUAAAGAGAGGAUCCACUGAAGUAGUAAAUGAGCUUCUUCUCUCCCAAGCUGUCUCUUGCACAAGAAAGAGAUGGGGCAACCUGGAAGAUUAUAGAAUAACAAAGUCUGAUGGGUAUUUGAGAGACAGAGGAAAGAAUAAACGGACUCGAAUGUCAGGUUCUGUAAAAAAAAGCACCUGGAACAAAUGUAUUUUUCUGUUACUGUAUGCUGAAUUAGUUGCUUGGAAUUUAAUAGUGGCUUUUCCUGAUGAACAAGUUUGAAAUGAGCUUAAUCACAACCAAGUGAUACUUCGCUAAUUUUAAGAAGGCAGAUAAUUAUUGGUCAUUACCAUGGGCAUUUGAAGGGGUGGGGUUUGGGAGGCUGGAUUUUCUUUUUUUCUUUUUUUCUUUCUUUCUUUUUUUUUUUUUUCUUUCUUUCUUUCUUUCUUUCUUUUUUUUUUUUUUCCAGUUUAGAAAAGAAAAAGUUUGUGAGCCAGAUGUUACUUCUCCAAUUACAACAGCCUUCUUGGGCUGCAUGUACAAAGCAGGAAUAGGCCUUUUGCAGUACCAGGAGUUAUAUCUAACAUACAGCAUUACUGUUAUUAUCGUUUAUACAGUAGUCCUCCAGCUCAGUCUGAGGCAUGCCAUGGUUUUACACUACCAUGCUUAAUGUCUGCAGGAGUGACUGUGUGAGGGCUCUCAAAGAAAGUUCUCUCUGUCUCAGAGAAAACCCUGCUUUAAGCUGCAACAGCGGGGAGACGCUUACACUAUGAUAUCAUGAUAUAGUCCAGCACCUGAAAUUUCUGCUAGCUUGGACUGCAGUUGCUGAAUAGAAUUCUUCACUGAGUACUACAAUAGGUUACUUACAGUAAAGUUACUGCUUGGGUCAGUGAAGAUGGGGUUACUUUACUGUGACUCAACAUAAAUGUUACAGAGCUGUCUAAUGUUAAAAAGUUACAGUUUGGAAGAAUGAAAAACAUGAACAAGGGAGGAAAAAAGUCCAAAGGAGCAUUUACAAACAAGCCAGACUACUUCUGUUUAUUCAUUACUCCUCCAUCAUUGCACCUACAAAAUGCCUAUGAGGAGAAAAAUAUUCUGGAUCCAAACACGCUAAUAUUCAUAUAAGGAACCACUGUUCCAAGCACUUAACAGCCAUAAAUUGAACUGCCUUAGUAUAUGAUCUCUGAUUACCUUUUAAACCACAGCCACACUUUCAAAAGUUACACAACAGCUAGCAUCUGCUUGUGAACAGUGUUUGCAAGGAGCUCAGCAUUUGUGAAGAUGCUUACACUAGAGUUACACUGUCCUGAAAAAUUCAAUAAUUAACAUGGGUACUUGAUGGUGGUUGUGAAAAUGCAGCUGGUGCUGCUUCAGAAAGUCUGUGUGUAGUGAUGUGACAAUAGGUAGCUUUUAAAUUCAGAAACAGCUUUCCCAGGCCAAACGUUUUUAUGAACACUCCUUUUAUCUUGUCAGUGCUUGUUAGCAUGCUACACUGUUUAUGAAGCACAAGAUAACAUCAACCCUACAAAUAUAUUUUGUUUGUAGGAGUGGUUUAUUUUUCAUGAAUACAUUUGCAUAUACAACCUGGCUAAAAAAGCAAGCUGUGUACAACUGACUAAACGAAACUGUUAAAGUAGCAGUGUUAUUCCAUAAUGCAGAGAAGGAAACUGCCUCAGUUCUGAGGAUCAUAAGUUGUUUUUUUUAAAUAAGAGAUAUCCUUAAGUGGGAAAGAAUCACCUAGACUUUAAAAAUAUAGGCCUGACUUUAUUAAUACAUAUUGCAGCUGAACAGAAAAAAAUAUAGAAAAUAGAAGUGGUAGAGUUCUUGCCACCUCUGAAUAAAAGACGUAGAAUUAGGAGCCUACAUAAGUUAAUUUUAGGGGAAAAAAGAUUUUGUUUAAAUUUUUGCAGAUAAAUGUUGAUCUCCUUGAAGAUGUUGGAAGUCAUUAGAUGUAACUGUUUAACUCAUAAAAAUUAUUACAUGUUUCUUGUUAAAAUGUUGAUGUUACUGGUAAUCUGAAGUUCACAUUCAUCCAUAGAGUCAAAUUUGUCCUAGCAAGGAAAAAGAGUUUAUCUCUAGGAAAUAAUGUCAAUUUUUACUGUUUUCUUUGUUAUGAACUAGCUUAAUUGUGCUCCAGAGCAUGGGAAUCCCAGGGAAAUUCCUGAUAAAUAAAUGUUAUCUUUGUCUUAA
rnacentral:lncRNA from 1 species